GAUGGAUUGCGGAACCACCGCGGGCGAGAGGCCGCAGCGCCCGGCAAGCCGCCGGCGGCUUCUGCUCUUCCUGCCCGCGGACCGGUGCGGGAGCCCCGGCGGCUGCUGCGCCCCAGCGCGCCGCCUCUCGGCUCUAGCCGGCGGUCUGCGGGCGCUACGGCCCGGCACCCCGGCGCCCUGCGGCGGCGCAUCACGUGCCUCGCCGCUGCUCCUCCUCCUGCUCGUGCCUUCCCCACGCCUGGCCACGGCCGCCCCGCGCCGCCCGCUUGGGGACUGGGAGCCCUCGCAGCCCGGGCCGCCCUCGGCCCGGCGGAGCGGCAAGCGGAGGGGCCAGCCGGGCGUUGCCCGUGUCGCCGGCGCCCUGCACCUGUGCCACGCUCCGGCGGCCGCCCUCGCAUCCUCGAGAGAGCUCAGCCUGUCUGCUGGGUCCCUGCAGCUGGAGCGCAAAAGGAGAGACUUCACGUCUUCUGGGACUAGGAAGUUAUUCUUUGACACCCAUGCCUUAGUGUGCUUACUCGAGGAAAAUGGGUUUACUACUCAACAAGCAGAAAUCAUUGUGUCUGCACUGGUCAAGAUCACGGAGGCCAGCUUGGAUAUCGUCUACAGAGACAUGGUCAACAAAAUGCAGCAGGAGAUCACCCUUCAGCAAGUAAUGUCUCAGAUUGCCAGUGUGAAAAAGGAUAUGAUUAUUUUGGAGAAGAGUGAAUUUUCAGCCCUCAGAGCAGAGAAUGAGAAAAUAAAGCUUGAACUACUUCAGUUAAAACAACAAGUAACGGAUGAAAUGAUCAAAGUCCGAACAGAUACCAAAUUAGACUUCAAUCUCGAGAAGAGCAGAGUAAAAGAAUUGUAUUCAUUGAAUGAAAGGAAGCUGCUUGAAAUGAGGACAGAAGUAGUGGCAUUGUGCCCUGCCGGGAAUGGACUUGGAAUGACAGAGCCGCGGGCUGGUAACCGGAAGUGGUUUAAUGCUGUCAAUCUCUCUGUUUCCAAAGCACGCCCAGCAAGAUCGGGCCCUCACUCAGACAGACAGGAAGAUUGACACUGAGGUUGCUGGCCUCAAAACCAUGCUCGAAUCACACAAACUUGAUAAUAUUAAAUAUUUAGCAGGGUCUGUAUUUACAUGCCUAACUGUAGCUCUGGGAUUUUACCGCCUGUGGACGUAAUAAAGUGUCUCUUUUAAAGGGCUCUCUGUUGUUUUUGCCUUAAGAACACCAGAUUGUCUUCUUUCUCAUUUUGACGUUUAACCCUGAUUUUGAUGUAUAUUAUUUAUUUCUGUACAUAUCAUGGACCUAGAACCACACGAACCACAGUAAAGGUGUCAGGAAUUUCAUGAUGGUUCCUCUCAGCUGUCGCUUUGCCUUUGUAACGCUGAGUGGUGGCGGACGAGGCGCUACGUACCAGCAGUAAUUCCCUGUGUAAUUCUCUGCAGUUUUCACUUUUCCUCACACAGAGGAUUUGGGGACUGUCAUCUCAAGGGCACAUUGGCUUUCAUGAGUGUCAAAGAAUCAUUGAAACGAAACCAAGAGCACCAAGUCCUCUUUACCUGGUGAUCCGUCGUUUACAUCAGCUGGGCCCUCUACCACAGUCUGUGACUCCACAGUAUUUAUUGUGUUUCAACUCCUAGUUGUUGGAAUGUCAGUGCUACAGCUGUACUUCUACACUCAAAGGAGGUUUGUUUUUAUUUUUUAUUUUUUUUUGUCUCAGUAAGUUAUUGCUAUAGUUUUUAUGUGCCUUCCAGCUAGAAAAUCGUGUUGCCUAAUGGAGUGUUGUAACAUAACGGGAACUCUUUUCUCUUCUUAGGUUGCUAGAUUUUUCUCCCCUCCUCUCCUCCCACCCCGCCUCUUUUCCCCAUUUGUGGCGUAUCUACCUAGAAAAUGCUGAUUCUCAGCAUGAAACUCUACCUUGUGGGACAGAAUCUCCUUCCUCCUGAUCUUCCUGUACUUCUUACACAAUUAAGGCACUCAGUUUGUCUUCUCUGGCGAUAGGUAUGCACAUCUUAAAGAUGAAAUCUCUGAUGAAUACACUUAUCACCGCAGAUUGUCGGCUUCGAAACGAGUGGAGAACUGUCGUGCCAGCUCUCAUCCUAUUCUAGAUGGCUUUCUUUUGUUGUUAAAGAUGUUCUCAUAUCUACCUUAGCUCUGUAUUUAAACAAAUUCUCUGAUACCACUGGGGUUGUUUUGGAGAAGCACUCAGUCAUUUGUCAUUGACUGGCACAUUUGAGAGAAUAAGCAUUUUAGAAAUAAUGAUGUUGGAACCUCUCCUGUCUUCGUCCACACACGCGCACACAGCCGGGUGCAGCGGAACCACCACAUAAAGAUCCUUGAACAGUUGGUAAAACAAACUACCGGUUCUCACCAUUCAACCAAUCAAUAAAAAAUGUACUUUUUGUCACUUUGUGUAGCGCAAAGAUUCAGAGCUCUAAAUAAGUGUGAAAAUCAAGUAUUUUUGCAUCUGUGCUCGGUUUCACAGUGAAGCAUUGUCAUUUAAUCUUCUCCAAGUAGAUUCAGACUCACCUGUGUAAUAAAAUUCUUUUUUGAUGCGUUCUUCCAUUUUCAGAGAAGGAUCCUCAGGAGGUCGGGCAUAUUUAGCAGUUACCUGAAGUGCAGGGGCUUCAGAGAGUGGCUACCCGUUAAGAGCACACCUGUAACUACUGAAGGAAGGUGUAGCCUUGCGCUAGUGAGGGCUUGGAGGAAGGGCGCAGAGCGUGGAGCUCCUGUCAAGUCACACCUCCAAAGCAAAGACUUCCCCAGAGGGAAUAGUACCUCAUACAAAUUAUGGUCCAAAGCAAGCAAUGACUUGCGUAGGUUAAAAACAGAAGUGUCCAUAUAUCCUGAUAAAAUGUUUUUAAAAUAACAUACAGCGGGAUGUCAUUCUUUCAUCUGCCGGAAGUAUUCCCAUAUGGUGUUCCUGUUGGAGCUCCUGGGCUGCAUUAUUCUGUCUCUGUCGCUCGCCUGGACCCUGGGUUUGCUGUAGAGGUCUGUGCAGCACAGCACAGCGCAGCACCCCCCCCCCCCUUUUUCUGCCUUGGGAACAGUGAGCUCUCUGACGGUGGGAAUUGCAUCCCCCUCUGCAUGUGAGGAGGGUUCAGGAAUGUGCUGUGUCUGUUUAGUCAAAUAUAUUCAAUUUGAAAAAUAUUUUAGCCAAAAGUGCGAGUGUCUUCUUCCCGUUGCUGACCCCAGCACCUGGAACAGUGUAAGCAUGACGUCCAAAACUUACCCAAACCCACUGCCGUGGAAGCGAUUUCAGCUCAGAGCCACCCCAAAGAACUUCCAAGGCUGUAAGUCUCUACAGAAGCAGACUGCCACAUCUUUCUCCUGCGGAGCCGCUGCUGGUUUCCAGCUGCCAACCUUUUGGUUAGCAGUCACCUUAACCAUUAUGCCACCAGGGCUCCUAAGCAUACUAUAAAAACCCAUGGCCAUUGAGUCGAUUCAAACUCCUAGCAACCCUAAAGGACAGAGUAGAACUGCCUCAUAGAGUUUCCAAGGAGCAGCUGGUGGAUUCAAACUGUCAGCCUUUUUGUUAGCAGCCGUAGCUCUUUACCACUGGACCACCAGAGCUAUAGUCUCUGUUAAAACUGCCUGAGCUGCGUUGGCUACCAGAAUUCAGAUCACCCUAAAAAACUAGGCAUUACUGUGGAGAAGGAAGACCGCCAACAACCUUGUGUCUCGAACGUGGGGACAUUAACCACAUUUUAACCACAGGUUAAUACCUCUUUAGGUAUCAGUGAAAACAACGUUGUCAGAGGCCUAAAGCAAAUAGUAAAUGGACAGGAUCUUGUAUUUCCUUCUCAUGCACUAGUCUUCCUUCAUUCUUAGAGGGCUUGUCUGCAGCCCUACUUUAUCCCCUUUCCUCUCCUGUAUCUUUUUUAAAGAUCCUGCGUUCCAGCUUCACUCCAUUCCUGCACCAUGAAUAAGCAACACCUGUUUGUGUGCCGCUUCUUUACUGGAAGCACUCAGUUUCUUUGCUGGUUUUAUUCUCAGCUUCUAGCUUAAUGUCUCGAGAAACUGAAUCUGAAUGUGUUCAUUUUUUCCCUUAAGUAUGCCAAGUACCUCAGUCAAGAAGUCACAAGUUCAAAACGAAAGGCUUGACUCAAACCAGAAGUGUUGCUGGAAUUUGUCUCUGAACAUUUGAAAAACAAAUUGUGAAUCCUUUUUCUGAGCCGCAGUGAACACAUCCCUGUGUGCCUGGAUCGUCUGUCAACAUUAACACUGUACAUUGCUCUUUCUGGAGUUUCUGGGUGGUGCAAGCAGUUGACACGCUCGCCUGCUAACGGAAAGGUUGGAGGUUUGAGUCCACCCAAAGGCACCUUGGAAGAAAGGCCUGGCAAUCUUCCAAAAAAUCAGCCACUGAAAACCCUGUGGAGCACAGUUUUACUCUGACACACUUGAGGUUGCCAUGGGUUGGAGUCAACAGCAACUUGGUUUUUUUUUUGUUUUGUUUUUUUGGUUCUCCUUUGUAGCUGUACCUAGUAGCACAGUCUCCCUAGUCUCCCCUCUUAGCUCCUAGUCUCCUUAUCCCCAGCCUCGCUGCCUGUUAAUUAACUGUGUUAGUAUUGGCAAGAAUUUCUCUCUCCACCCAAAAGUGCUAUGUUCUAAGGAUGUUUGUGUUUCUUAACAGACAUGAUAUAGACAGCAUUAUCAAACUCAUGUUAGGCAACUUCAGCUUUGUCAUAAGUUUAUCCAAUUUGUUUGGCUUUUUUGGACACUAAAACAAAAAUAUGUUAAAUGGAAAUAAUUUAUAUAAAUUGUGAAUGUCUUUUUAUUGGAAUUUUCUUUGGGAAAUACUUACCUUUCUACAGACUUAUAAUUACAUUCUUCUGAUUAUAACGCAAGUCAUUUCUUAACCAUUUUAUUACUUAAGCUAAUAUUCAGUUACAUUUUAUUAUAUAAUAGAGUGGGUGUAAUGUUUUUAUAUGCUGUAUGUGACUGAUAACGGUUUCUGAUUCAAAGUAAAUGAAAAACUGGAACGACUUGCCUACAGUGUAUUUCAACUGUUAUCCCAUCCAAUUGUAUAAUAAUACUGGUGUAUUAUAAGUAAAUCUAAUAUUUGAAGAGUUGGAUUUACAUAGGAAAUAAAUUUGAAAGUGAUUAUUUGACUCACAAAAUAAAUUUUCAUUCUUCAUAAACAUUGCUUUUGUGUGGUCCUGUUUAAGGGUAGAUGAUGAGGUUUAUGUACAAGUGUUUAGACAUAUCUAUGAGGACUCAAAGGUCCCUUGUGGCACACAUGGUUUGCACUUGACUACCUACCUAACGAGCCCUGGUGGUGCAGUGGUUAAGAACUUGGCUGCUAACCAAAAGGUCAGCAGUUCGAAUCCACCAGCUGCUCCUUGAAACCCUGUGGGGCAGUCCUACUCUGUCCUAUAGGGUCACUAUGAGUCAGAAUCGACUUGAUGGCAACAAGUUAGGUUUUUUCUUUGGUUACUAACCUAAAGGUUGGCAGUUCAAACCCACCCAGUGGUGCCGUGGAAGAAAGGCCUGGUGAUCUCUUGCCAUAAAAAUUACAGGCAAGAAAGUCGUAUGGAGCAGUUUAUUCUUUAACACAUGACGUGGCGUCACCAUGAGUCAGAAUUGACGGCGAUGGUUUGGUUUUUUUUUUUUAAUGAGGACUCAGGUUGCGAAUAAUAGAAUUUCAAAUCGGACUAGCUUGAACAGACAAGAAUUUGCUCUUUUGGUUUACAUAACUAAAGUUUCAGAAAGGGCAAACUGUCAGGUGCAUCACAUUUUCCUCUCUGCACCUCUUUCCUCCACUGUCUCUGGGUAGUUGUCGUUCUCAGCCCAGCUUCUAGCUUGGGGAACCUGUCUGUGGGAAGCACCCGCGCGUGACCUUGUGGCUCAGGAACUGCAGCGUUCCACUUUGAAAAUGCCUGGGAAGGAGGUGUGAAAAGCAAGCUGCCUAGGUAGCUGCAAGGUCUCGAGAAGGAUGCUGCAGCUCCUGCUACACGAUCCUGCCCUGAGGCUCUUUUGAGGGAAUUUCCGGGUCUGGAAAAGGAGUUCUUGAGUCAGCCAGUGCAGGCUGAUCCUAGGUGUCCUAACGCCUACUUCAGAGGAAAACAAAGCAACGCCUUGGGAAAGUGGAUGAAAGGAAUUAAAUAGCCUGGGAAUUAAUUUCAGGUACCUUUUGUUUUUUCCAACCAGCAAUCUUUUACCAAAGUUGGAGAAUAAGGUUAACUAGAUUUGAGGGUGAGCAGCUAAGGUUCUAACAGGCAGACAGCAAAUGAGACGGCCCUAAAGGAUUUGUGAACAGGGUUGUUAGCCUCAUGUUCAGAAAGUAUGCAGUGUGUCAGACUUUAACUGUCCGUGCCAUUGUCUCACCUGGGCCCCUUUUUCACAUCAGCAGCAUAUGAACAGACUAAAGACUUUUUCUUCACCCUGGAUCUUUAAUUUCUUUAAAAAAAAUUUUAUUUUAAAGAAUAUAAGCUUUAUCCCUGGAAUCCAAACCUCUGGCAUUCCGCAGCAGAGCUUCGUUGCUAGUUGUACCUCUACCUUAGUUUUGCAGUAUUCACAGGAGAAGGGUCUUAGUGACCAGUGUCAGCCACAGGGCCUGAGGGUAAGCAUCCUUCAUUUGAGCAGAGAUCCGUAAGCUUUUGGUCACCUUUUCCAUGUCACAAGUACACAGAUGACUAUCUUUAGGCCAACACUUGCAGGAAUAAAGUUGAAACAUGGGUGUUUUACAAGGUCGUAAUUUUUCAGUUUAAACUCAUCCUAAUUUCUUGCAUGUACUGUGUUUCAGUAAUCCCUAACGAGUUAACACUUCUGAAGCCUCAGGCUGGCUUAGUAUUAUAGCCCACGAAGUUUCCAUUUAGUACAUUGCUUCUGUGGUCUUUCAGAGAAGGUUUGUCAACUGUUUUCCUGUUCAGUCACCUCAGACUCCACAACCCUCUUCUCUCCAGAGAGAAGAACCAGCUGCUCAGUAGCAUCUUGUCCCUUAUAGCAUAAAAGUGUCUUUUUCUAACCCAGAAAUAUUUUUUUACCGUUUUCUUUUAUAUUUAUAGGAUAUUUUUGGGGUUGCAGAGUGCUUUCACAUUUGCUUUCUGAUUUGAACCACACAACAUCCCAAGAGACACAAUAAUAGGCAAUGUUUCUCUCCACCCUGUAGGAUUGCUAUUCAUGAAAACCUCAAUGGUAAGAUUUUGUGGGGAAAAGAUGGGAGACAGAGAAUCGAGAUAUUCAGUGAACCCACGAAAGCACUUAUAAGUAUUUUUUUACCUUUGCAUCAGUAGUUAGAUGCUUUCAACUGCAGGCAACAUAAACAGUGACCUAGGCCUAACGACAUUUUUUAUUUACCUUUUUAUUGUACUUUAGAUGAAGGUUUACAGAGCAAACUAAUUUCUCAUUAAAUAAUUAAUACACUUUACUGUUUUGUGACAUUGGUUGCCAACCCCACAAUAUGUCAACACUCUCCCCUUUUUGACCUUAGGUUCCCCAUUACCAGCUUUCCUGUCCCCCCUGCCUUCUAGUCCUUGCCCCUGGGCUGGUGUACCCAUUUAGUCUCAUUUCGUUUUAUGGGCCUGUCUAAUCUUUGGAUGAAGGGUGCAUGUAAGGAAUAACUUCAUUACUGAGCUGUAAGAGUGGCUGGGGGCCAUACUCUCUGGAUUCCUCUAGUCUCUGUCAGACCAGUAAGUCUGGUCUUUUUUGUUUGUGAGUUAGAAUUGUGUUCUGCAUUUUUCUCUAGCUCUCUCCAGGAACCUCUGUUGUGGUCACUAUCAGAGCAGUCAGUGAUGGUAGCUGGGAAACAUCUAGCUGUGCUGGACUCAGUCUGGUGGAUAUUUACUCUUGAAAUAGGCAGUCGUUAGGGUUGAGUUAGCAGCUUAAUGGUGCCUUCAAGGACCCAACUCUUCUCGUCUUCCCACUCUUUCCUUCCUGUAUGUGUUAGCUUUCUGUUUCAGGCCUGGGGUUGCCUGAACACAAGAAGGCUGCCACAGUUCCAGGCAUUGCAUCCUCACAUGAGACAUCCAAAGCAAAAAGCGAGAGAGGUGCAAACUUCUUGUGUGUCUUCUUUUAAUCAGGGAGAGAGAUUUUCCCUCAGAAUCUCUCCCACUACAAAAAAAAAAUUUUUUUUUAUGUCUCAUAGAUCAGGAUUAGUUAGAUCUUGGCCACCUGCAGCAAGAGAAGUUGCAAAGUGAAAUAAUCGGCUUUUUCAGCCCCUCCGGUAGGAAGUAAGUAGCCCUGGUGGUACAGUGGUUAAGCACUCAGCUGCUAACUGAAAUGUCGGCAGUUGAAAUCCACCAGCCGCUCCACAGGAGAAAGAUGUGACAGUCUGCUCCUAUAAAGAUUACAGCCUUAGAAACCCGAUGGGGCAGUUCUACUCUGUCUUGUAGGGUCACUAUGAAUCAGGAUCGACUCGACAGCAAUGGGUUUGGUUUUGGGGUGGUAGGAAGUCGGCAAAGAAGAAGGAGACUGAAAAUGGUCAUUGGACAGGCAUUCAGCAGUGUUAGUUACAAUGCUCAUGACAAUAAAACAAUGCACCCUAAAUAACCAUCAAGUUACCGUCCCUUGGUGGCUAGAAACACUUCAGAAUAUCCCUCCUCUUUAUUUCCAGUGAUAUGUGGGCAAUUUUAUUUUAUUCUGUUUCACAUAAUAUUGGUACUGGCUCUCUAACCAAAUCUUCAAUUCCUGGUUUUCAUUUUAUGACUAGUUUCUAGGAUCUCACUAUAGUCCCAGAUUCACUUGGAUGCUUCAAGGAAAAAAGUUGUUAAUUAAAUUUGCAUACACAUUUGGAUAUUUCUCAAAACUUCUCAAUAUAAGGGGUUAUAUAUACUUGGCUCUACUAUUUUUUUCUAUCAUUUUAAUUCAUGGUCAGUCACUGCAGGACAAAGGACUUGGUUUGGCCUUUGUCUCUGGUUUCCUGAAGAUAACCCUGGGAAUUUGCCAGCAAUGAGCUGCCUUUAUUUGCAAAUGUAGUGGGAGCCCCAAAGACCACAGCUGGCAAAUAACUUCAGGAAGGGAGAGGACCACGAAGCAGCGAUUGCGCAUAUUCAUUGAUGGGACUUGAUGGGACUGAUCUUGAGAUGAGGCACCUAUCAUGCCUAUGCAUUGAGGCCCCAAUGACUGUUAUAAAGGACCCUUUUCUUCAGAGCUUCCUUGGAGCUUUGGGAUUGAUGACGCAUGGGGGAGGACUGUACAUCCCUGGGGACAUGAAGCUCUGUGGGGAGACCCAUCCCAGAACUCACCCUUUUUGUGUUUGUAUCUUUUCUCUGCAGAAUUAAAGAUAGCCCUUUUCCAGGAGUUGGUGAGUUGUGGCAAAAAAUGAUCAGACCUAAGGAAAUAGUGGGGCUGGCUGGUCUGAAGUGGAGGGAGUCGUGCGGACUUCAUAGCUCGCACCUGGUACCUUGAGAAGUAGAGGAAAGCCCCCAAAGUCAGGGCUGGCUGGUCUGAAGUGGGGAGUGUUGUGUGGACUCCCUAGCUUGCUUGCACCCAGCACCCACUGACCUAGUCCCGGGGUGAAAGAAAGGGCUGUGUGGAGCCGCUGGGGUCUGGACUGACCAGGGAAGGGAAACUGGAAUUUCCCAGGACUACUUUGAUACCACAAACUGGUGUCAGUAGAAGUGGGAUCCAAUGUGACAACUCCUGACUUAGGAGGAAGUAGAAGUGGGUGUGGGAUUGUGGAUGACUACUUUGGUCGAUGUUAUCUGUAAAUGAAAGUAAGCUGCUUUCUGUAAGUAACAAACGGCUUUCGCAAUGGCCAACACUGUGUGCGACACAGUCAUUCGUGAGUUUUCUCCAUCAAGAUGGAUGUGAAUUCCUUUGCUUGGUUGUGAGCACCAGCACGUCUUUACGGACAAGUGCUGGCCAGCCCUUAAGGUUUAAGAAAACUCUAAGGGACUAAGUUUAAGACUGAGAAAAAUCUAUUAACUUUUCCCUGCAAAUGAAUAAAACCAUGAUUAUCUUGUUUUAGUGGUAUAAUAUCUCAGUGCAGUUCCUAAACACCAGUUUUUAUGGUCAAAUAAUUUGACAACUUAUGUGAUGAGUCAGGAACCCUGGGUUCAGCUUCCAGCCUUGCCACUUACCGCACUCUUGGGAAAACCAGUCAACCUUGCCAAGCCUCAAUUCCCACAUUUCUAAAAUAACAACAAUAAUGAUGACAGGAAUGCUUGUUGAGCACUUACUAUAUACCAGGCACUGUUCUCAAUCAUUAUGGGAUCAGCUAGUCUCCAUGACGUUCCUGUGAAGUAAGUAGUAUAAUUAUCUCUCUUUUACAGAUAAGGAAACUGAGGCAUUAGAAACUUGAAGUAACUUGCCCAAGAUCACCCAGCUUAAUAAGUGGUGACUCCGGAUUCAAACCCAAGUAUCCUGAUGCCAGAGAACAGGUUCCCUGCCCAUCUGAUAGCACUUAGCAAGGAUCAAAUGAAAAUGGCUUUUAAAAUCCCAUACAUGCAAAGAAAACACAAUGUAGUCAGCGUACAAUAACUGGAAUCACUUCCUAGUAAUUACUAGUAAUAUUGCUUACACCACUACCCAAACAAGCAAAUUUCCUUUAGUACUUUUCCUAGCAACCAUCCCAGAGUCCCAAGCAGACGUAUUUAUUGAGAAAAUGCAGUAUUCUAACAAAAGAAACUAAUCCUUUGAACAGAUAGGUAGAAAUUGUAGGUAUUAGUGUUGGGAUUGUAGGUGGGUUUUGGAGGAGCUCUGGUGGCUCAAUGGUUAAGUGCUUGGCUGCUAACCUAAAGGUUGGCGGUUCGAACCCACCAGCUGCUCCAUGGGAGAAAAGACCUGGCGAUCUGCUCCCCUAAAGAUUACAGCCUAGGAAACCCUAUUGGGCAGUUCUAUUCUGUCACGUGGGGUUGCUAUGAGUCAGAAUUGACAUGAAGGCACCCAACAACAACAUUGAAGGAAUUUACGUAAUUGAAUAGGAAAUAAAUAUAAGCUCUCAAGUGUUAUAUCUUACCAACUCUUAUCAACUCUUUGUACAGGCCCCGGAAUGACUGUGAAUUUUUAUCUUUUUAUUUGGGAGGUGUUAUAUAGAAACCCUGGUGGCGUAGUGGUUAAGUGCUAUGACUGCUAACCAAAGGGUCAGCAGUUCGAAUCUACCAGGCACUUCUUGAAAACUCUAUGGGGCAGUUCUACUCUGUCCUAUAGGGUCGCUAUGAGUUGGGACUCGAUGGCACUGGGUCUGGUUUUUUUUUUUUUGGUUAUAUAAAGAGAUUGAUGUUGACUGUUUAGGCCUUAGAUUCAUGCGAAGUUUAGGCCUUAAAAUAAUUCCUUAGUGUUUAGUUUGGUGCCCCUCUUUUGUGACAUGAUCAUUCACUAGAGUAUUUUAUUCUUAAUCAUCCAAGUAGGCCAUCUGGGACACUGCAUGAAAAAAUAAAACAAAUUUCACAGCUUUUCAAAAGUUCCCCAGAAAGUUAGGCUACCCAAAUUCUAACUAUGCCCUUGGGGACAUUAGUAUCUCAUCCAAAUUCUGUGUUUCAUCGGUAUAAAAACCUUCUCACCUACUCUCCGUUUCCCAAGGAGUCCGUGGAAACCAGGUGUCUCUCCCCCUUCUCAAGCAAAGCGAGACUUCAGAUCUCAGAAAAAUGGGAGGAAGAACGGAGACACUUGGGGGCACACCGUACUUUCCAUCCAAACUCUUGCGUGUUAAAAAAAAAAAAUCAAAACCAUACUUCACCUCAGUAGGCAAAUCCACAGAAAGUAGACUGAUGGUUACCUAUGGCUGGAGGGCUAAAGGGAAACAGGGAGUGACUGCUAACGGGUACAGGAAUUCUGUUUAUCAACCUCGUGUGUGUGUGGUAAAAUACACAACAUAAAAUUCGCCAUUUUACAAAACGGUCACAAAAGGAGAGACUGGAAGGAGGGAGCAGGCUGACUUAUUAGGGGGAGAGUAUGUGGGAGUAUGUAGUAAGGUGUAUAUAAGUUUAUAUGUGAGAGACUGACUUGAUUUGUAAACUUUCACUUAAAGCACAAUAAAAUUAUUUAAAAAAACAAAACAAACCAAAAAAAAAAUUUGCCAUUUUGAAGUGUGCCACUCAGGGGCAUAUAUACAUUCACAGUGUUGUGCAACCAUCGUCACUAUCUUGUUCCAGAACUUUUUCAUCACCCUGAAAGGCAGGGUUUCUUUUUCUAUUUUUCUGUUGUGCUUUAGGUGAAAGUUUACAGCUCAAGUUAGUUUCUCAUACAAAAAUUUAUACACAUGUUGUGUGAACCUAGUUGCUCUCCCUAUAGUGUGACCAUACACUCCCCCGUCCACCCCAGAUUUCCUGUGUUCAUUAACCCAGCUUCUGCCCCUUUCUGCCUUCUCUUCUUACCUCCAGACAGGAGCUGCCCAUGUAGUCUCAUGUAUCUACUUGAACUAAUAAGCACACUCUUAAUGAGUAGUAUUUUAUGUUUUAUAGUCCAGUCUAAUCUUUGUCUGAAGAGUUGGCUUCAGGAAUGGUUUUAGUCUGUGGUUAACAGAGAGUCCGGGGGCCAAAGGGUUUCUUUUUAAGGUGACGAAAAUGUUCUAAAAUUGAUUGUGGUGAUAGUUGCCCAACCCUGUGAAUAUACUAAAAACCAUCGAAUUGUACACUUUAAAUCGGUGGAUUGUAUGGCAUGUGAAUUCUAUCUCAGUAAAGCUGUUAGAAAAAAUAUGCAACUAUAGAAGGCAAACCCCCAUUUCUUUAGAAGAAGAAGGAGCAGAAGGAGGAAAACACUAGUGGGUGUUGGAAGGAAGUGUUGGGCUGCUAACCAAAUGGUAGGCAGUUCGUAUUCACCAGCCAUCUUUGAAAACCCUAUGGGGCAAUUCCACUUUGUCCCGUAGGGUCAUUAUGAGUCAGAAUCAACAUGAUGGCAACGGGUUUGUUUUGUUUUGGUCCCUUCUUUUUUACAUGUUCACUCUAAGAUGAAGAACCAAGCCAGGGAAGUUGAGCGAGGCUUGCAUCAGGCCACAUGGCUAGUGAGUGGAAGAAGCCAGAUCUGAGUGAGCUGAUCCUUCCUUCAGUGUCUCUCCCCGUACCACGUGACUCUGGACCAGUCUCGCCAAGAAAAUGACACUUUGGUUGUUAUUAAAUCCCAAAUUACUUUUUAUUAGGGCUCAGUGAUAACUCAUUGAAAUCGUCUAGUUAUCACCCAGAUAGUUAAAAUGUUUUGUGAGUCAGGCAGUCUCUUGGGCAGCACGAGGAGAGAAACUGAGAUCACUCAUUUCUGUGUUUGUCUCCCCAGCUCCUCCUUUGGGGAGUUUGUCUCCCCAGUUCCUCAGGGCAGGGUUGGAUGGCUUAACUCUGCCUCCCAGUGGCCAGCACUGUGCCGGCACAUCAUAGGGCUCACCAGUAUGUGGCGGAGAGGGGGGCAGAGCUCCCUCAUCAGGCCACCGGAGGUCUCUUUUAGGGAGUGUGAUAGCAUGCGCCCAGAAGGGGGAACCGGAAACACAAUUUCAGGGCUGGAGGCAGGAAGGUCCAGAGGUUAGCCACCCGGGGACCCCAGGCCGGUCACUCCAGAGAGAGCAGGGCCUUCAAGAUUCCUUCCCCAUGCCCCACAAGGCCCUCAAAUUCCCCAACUGGAAUGCUUUUCUUAACCAGUUAGAGAAACAGUUGCUAUGAGUCAACUCUGACUCAUGGCAACUCCAUGUGUGUCAGCGUAGAACUGUGCUCCACAGGGUUUUUAGUGGCUGAUUUUUUGGUAGCUCACCUGGACCUUUGGGUGAACUUGAAACCCCAGCCUUUCAGUUAGCACCUGAGCAUAUUAACCAUUUGCACUACCCAGGUGCUCUACUCUGGUCUUUUGUUGUUGUUAGGUGCCGUCGAAUCGGUUCCAACUCAUAGCGACCCUAGCCCAUCUCCAGCUGCCUAAAACCAGGAGGCCGCCGAAGGGAGGAUGUGUGGGGUAGCGAAAAGGUCCUGGACUGAGACUCAGGAGGUACUAGCCUAGAUGAAGACCUGAGGCACACCACCAAAUCUCUUUAAACCUUAGUUGUUUGAUCUCUAAAAUAGGAGGGUUGGGCCAGGUGGUGUAUGGUCCUUUGCAGCCCCCGUAACUGUGGUUCCAAAGACUUUGGUCUUGGAACUCAGGCCAACAGAACCCCAGUACUCAGGACUCACAGAAUAAUAAAAUAUAAAUAUAUGAGGCCUUCCGUGAAAGAAUGCCCACUAUAAUCGUUAACAGAAACGUAGGUGCCUUAGUCAUCUAGUGCUGCCAUAACAGAAAUACCACAAGUGGAUGGCUUGAACAAAGAGAAAUUAAUUUUCUCACAGCCUGUGAGGUUAUAAGUCCAAAUUCAGGGCAUCAACUCCAGGGGAAGGCUUUCUCUCUGUCGGCUCUGGAGGAAGGCCCUUGUCCUAAAUCUUCCCCUGGUUGGGGAGCUUCUCAGGCACAGGGACCCCAUGUCCAAAGGAUGCACUUUGCUCCUGGUGCUGCUAUCUUGGUGGUAUGAGGUCCCCUACUCUCUGCUUGCUUCCCUUUCCUUUUAUCUCUUGAGAGAUAAAAGGUGGUGCAGGCCACACCCCAGGGAAACUCCCUUUACCCUGGAUCAGGGAGGUGACCUCAGGAAGGGUGCUGUUACAAUCCCACCCUAAUCAUCUUAACAUAAAAUUACAAACACAAAAUGGAAGACAGCCACACAAUACUGGGAAUCAUGGCCCAACCAAGUUGACACAUAUUUUGCGGGGGGACACAAUUCAAUCCAUGACAGUAGGUUAACAAAAAGAGAAACCUACUUUUUAAAUUUAACUCAUUCUUAUUUACCCCCAUCUUUGCCUUGAAUCUCCAUUCUUCCUGGUCAAAACUUAUCUCCUCCAGAAAGCUGUCUAGAUAAACCCCAUUCUUCUCUGGAUUUCUCCCUAGGAAAGUACUGUGUCAUGGUUAGGAGCAUGGCCUUGGGAACCAGGCUGCCUCAGUGUGAAUCCUCUGUGACCUUGGGCAGAUGACUUAACUGCUCAGUGCCUCAGUUUCCCCAUCAGUAAAACAGGGGUAAUAACAAUACCUACCUCAU